AGGAUGAACGCUGGCGGCGUGCCUAACACAUGCAAGUCGAACGUCCUGUCUCGCAAGAGGCAGGGAGUGGCGGACGGGUGAGUACCACGUGGGUCAUCUACCGUGAGGUGAGGAAUACCGGCGAGAAAUCGCCGACAAGACCGCAUAGGCUCGAUGCAAGUCGAGCAAAGCUCUUUCGAGAGAGGGAGCGCCACACGAGGAGCCUGCGCCCGAUUAGCUAGCUGGUGGAGUAACGGUUCACCAGGGCGACGAUCGGUAGCUGGUCUGAGAGGACGAUCAGCCACACUGGGAUUGAGAACGGCCCAGACUCCUACGGGGGGCAGCAGUGAGGAAUUUUCGGCAAUGGGGGCAACCCUGACCGAGCAACGCCGCGUGCAGGAGGAAGGUCUUCGGAUCGUAAACUGCUUUUCUGUGGGAAGAGAACGGACGGUACCACAGGAAGAAGCCCCGGCUAACUACGUGCCAGCAGCCGCGGU
rnacentral:rRNA from 1 species